UUGAUAUGACAUGGCCUGGAAGCGUCAAGCAAACUUCUCAUGAGCUGGCAGAAGCUGUUUUUUUUUACUGUGGUAUAAGUGACCACGUCUGCUGCUAUCACUGCGCCUGUGGAAUACGAAAUUGGAGACCAGAAGAUGAUCCUUGGACGUUACAUGCGAGAUGUAGUCCAGAAUGUGCUUACAUUAUUCUUGCAAGGGGCAAGGAAUUUGUUAAGAA